ACGAACGCUGGCGGCGUGCCUAAUACAUGCAAGUUGAGCGCUGAAGGUUGGUACUUGUACCAACUGGAUGAGCAGCGAACGGGUGAGUAACGCGUGGGGAAUCUGCCUUUGAGCGGGGGACAACAUUUGGAAACGAAUGCUAAUACCGCAUAAAAACUUUAAACACAAGUUUUAAGUUUGAAAGAUGCAAUUGCAUCACUCAAAGAUGAUCCCGCGUUGUAUUAGCUAGUUGGUGAGGUAAAGGCUCACCAAGGCGAUGAUACAUAGCCGACCUGAGAGGGUGAUCGGCCACAUUGGGACUGAGACACGGCCCAAACUCCUACGGGAGGCAGCAGUAGGGAAUCUUCGGCAAUGGACGAAAGUCUGACCGCGCAACGCCGCGUGAGUGAAGAAGGUUUUCGGAUCGUAAAACUCUGUUGGUAGAGAAGAACGUUGGUGAGAGUGGAAAGCUCAUCAAGUGACGGUAACUACCCAGAAAGGGACGGCUAACUACGUG
rnacentral:rRNA from 1 species